UACGGAGGGAGCGAGCGUUGUCCGAAGUUACUGGGCGUAAAGCGCGCGUAGGCGGGAAAUUAAGUGAGAAGUGAAAGGCUGGGGCUUAACCCCAUGCAGUGCUCCUCAUACUGGUUUUCUUGAGGGUGGUAGAGAGAAGUGGAAUUCCAGGUGUAGCGGUGAAAUGCGUAGAUAUCUGGAGGAACACCGGUGGCGAAGGCGGCAUCCUGGACCGGCAUUGACGCUGAGGCGCGAAAGCCAGGGGAGCAAACGGG
rnacentral:rRNA from 1 species